CCUCUUCCUAAGUAUCCGCUUCUGAGUAUCAUUUGUUUUGGACUCUCUCACAAGUCGCAGCUGUAGGAACCCCAGUAACUUCACAAACGACAUUAUGGCUCAAGAACAACAACCCCUCGCCUACCCACCACCCCAGCCCGGCGGUCCAGGCGCACCCCCCGGGGCUUACCCACCUGGAGCCGUUGGUGCUCCCCCAGGAGUCCCCGGAGCUCCAGGGCAGUGGAUGCAGGCUCCUGCUCCUCCAAGCAACUGCCCUCCAGGCCUGGAGUACCUCACCCAGAUUGAUCAGCUCCUGGUCCACCAGAAGACAGAGCUCCUAGAAGCUUUCACUGGUUUUGAAACGGCAAACAAGUAUGAGAUCAAAAACACGGUUGGACAGCAAGUCUACUUUGCUGCAGAAGACAGUGAUUGCUGCACAAGGAAUAUGUGCGGAAAGACUCGUUGCUUUGACAUGAAGAUCCUUGACAACACGCAACGAGAGGUCAUUCAUGUAGAGCGCCCUCUUAGGUGUACGACCUGCUGGUGUCCAUGUUGUCUGCAAACGCUGACAGUGAGCUCGCCACCAGGCACCGUGAUUGGCUACGUCAACCAAUCCUGGAGCCUCUGUUUCCCCAAGUUUGCCAUCCAGAACGAGAACCAUGAAACCAUUCUGCGUAUCGAUGGACCCCUCUGCCAAUGGAACUGCUGCGGAGAUGUCGAAUUCGAUGUGAUGUCUGCUGAUGGAGGCUCUAAGGUGGGCAAGAUCUCCAAGCAGUGGACCGGAUUCAUCAAGGAAGCUUUCACCGAUGCGGAUAACUUUGGUGUCUCCUUCCCAAUGGAUCUGGAUGUCAGGAUGAAGGCGGUGACUCUGGCUGCAACCUUCCUCAUUGAUUUCAUGUUCUUUGAAGAGUCUGACAAGAAGGACAAGAAGAAAUCUGGAUUCAGUGCCGUUUAAUCAUCAUCAUCAUCAUCAUCAUCUAGAUCAUACUCAUCACAAUGUAUAAGGACUUCAUGUUCUUUGAAGAGUCUGGGAAUAAGAACGAUCAGAACAACGCUGGCUUCGUCAGAAACUAGAAGAACAUCACAUCAAGGAGGGGACACUCACUGCGAGAGCGUUGCUCAUCACUAUUGAAAAAUUACCCUUCAUUUGGCAACACUGAACUGGUGAUCUUGAAUUAUGCAUUGCAGUUUGAGAGGUUUAAAAGAGGAAAAGUUUGAUAACUAUAAUCAAAGUAAUGAUUUGGCAAGUGACUUAAAUUUCUGUACAUUUAUGAAAUAGUUACAUCACAGUGGAAAACAAUUUUUUUUUAAUUGUAUAGUAUUGUAAAGUUUCUCUCUUUUGUAUGGCUUCAUUUAAUUUAAUAUGAUCAUUUCACUAUUAACAAAUUUGUAGUGUGAUAUAACCAAUAUUUUCAAAGAAUAUUUUUUUUCUCUUGUGCAUCUCUCUUUCAGAGUCAAUUUUAAUAGUGUUCAAUUCGUAGGCUCAAUCUUUACAUUAUGUUAUUUUGCAUUUGGCAUUAGUGGGUUCAAAAGUUAUAUCAUGAACUGGUACAGGUUGAACAAAAUAAUUUGUGAGCUGUCUCAUUACUUUAUUUACACAUAGAUGAUCAUGAUAAUUAAUCAUUGGAUGCAUUUCAUGAAAUUCCUUUCAUAUUUCAAAUAUGAGUAGAAAUAUUCAUAGCCUGGGACCAAAAAGUUAUGUCACCUGUUUAUGCAGUCCCAUAUACCGGUAUUCACAAAUUUGUGUUUUUUAAUAUUCAGUAUUAAGAUUGAGUGAUUUGGCUAUGAUUAAUGCUUCCAAAACCUUCAUGAAUAUUGAUUUUUACACCAUAAUCAACAUAACAAGAUUACAAUGAAGUUUUAUUUUCCAACGCAACUCCAUGACCGUAUGCUCAACAUUGCCUUUUAAAGAUGGAUGCUCAUUUUUUGUUUUAAUCAUUCUGAAAAUAAGAUUAGUAAAUAGCCUUAGUGUUCAUUUAAAUCAAAAUAUUGUUUGAGACAGCUUAAUACUAAGAGGAAAUAAACCAAGGAUGCAACAAACUGUUCACAGUUCCUGUACAUAGUACACAUAUAUUGUUUGUUCUUAAGUCAUUUUUGUUUACAAUUGUGUACAUGUCCCUACAUGUAGUGGAGUAUAGAUUAUGUGGUAGUAAUACAAAUUGUAAUAUAGAAUCAUGUUAAAUGUUAUUAAUACUAGCAUGUAAUCAUGUUGCUUGUGCAUUUAUAUUAUUGAUUAAUAUCUAUGUAUGUUAUGGCUGUAUUGUGUCAUAUUUCAAUUGUUUUUAUUUACAUACAAUAACAUGAAUGGGCAUUCUUCAUCAUCAAUCGGCUAUGACGUAAAAAAAAAAUCAAAUCUAUUGAAAUAAAAGAGAACAUUCUUCUGUCACAAUGUUUCAUGCUUGCUAAUUCUAUGAUCGAAAGAGACUGUAUUUUGUUAUUGAGCUAGUUUCCAGAGGCUGCUAGUAAACAAGUCUUUUUUUUCUACUGAAAGGUGAUAAUUAACUUGCAAUGGCAUAAUGGUACAAGUAACAUUGUGUGCGGGUAAGUCUGAAUCCAAUGACCUGGGUAAUGAUAUAUAUAUAUAUAUAUAUAUCUGUAAAGCACUUUGACAGGGCCUGCGUUCCUGAAAAGCGCUAUAUAAUAACCAACUAUUUUUUUUGUUUGGUGAGAGAAAAGAAUUUAUUUGAAUUGCUUCCAUGGAAUUGUGUAGAAUCAAUUCAUACCUACCCUGUAUACCCAUUUAAAAGAUUAAAAGGGGGACAAAAGAAGAAUUUGUAUUAAAUUGCUAAAAAUAGGAGUUGUCUUACAAUUCUGAAAUUUCAGCCAUUUGUUGUAGUUUUUGCAAUUUCAUGAAGUCAAAUUAUUUCUUAGGGCAGUAUAUGAUAGAAAAACCAUGAACUAUAAUUCAUGUAAUGUAGUCUAACAAAUACAUGUAGUUUUUAGAAGAAGAAAAAAGGCUUUAGAAUAUUUUAAUUGACAGAUAGUGUAUUAUUUUAUUUAUAUUCGUAGAUAUUGUAUAUGUUCAGCAUUAUACUUGUAUGUAUGUGUCUUUCAUAUUCAUUUUAACAUAAAAUAUACUAUGGGAAUAAAUGUAAACUGCCUGCAA